rnacentral:rRNA from 1 species
UACGUAGGGUGCGAGCGUUGUCCGGAAUUAUUGGGCGUAAAGAGCUCGUAGGCGGUCUGUCGCGUCGAAUGUGAAAACCCCGGGGCUCAACUCCGGGCUUGCAUUCGAUACGGGCAGGCUAGAGUUCGGUAGGGGAGUCUGGAAUUCCUGGUGUAGCGGUGAAAUGCGCAGAUAUCAGGAGGAACACCGGUGGCGAAGGCGGGACUCUGGGCCGAUACUGACGCUGAGGAGCGAAAGCGUGGGGAGCGAACAGG